AGUUUGAUCAUGGCUCAGAUUGAACGCCGGCGGGAUGCUUUACACAUGCAAGUCGAACGGCAGCACGGACUUCGGUCUGGUGGCGAGUGGUGAACGGGUGAGUAAUGUAUCGGAACGUGCCUAGUAGCGGGGGAUAACUACGCGAAAGCGUAUUAAUAUCGCAUACGCCCUUCGGGGGAAAGUGGUAGACCUUCGGGCCUCGCACUAUUAGAGCGGCCGAUAUCGGGAUUAGCUAAUGGGUGGGGCAACGGCUCACCAAGGCGACGAUCCGUAGCUGGUUUGAGAGGACGACCAGCCACACUGGGAUCGAGAUUAAGGCCCAGACUCUACGGGAGGCAGCAGUGGGGAAUUUUGGACAAUGGGGGAAACCCUGAUCCAGCCAUCCCGCGUGUGCGAUGAAGGCCUUCGGGUUGUAAAGCACCCUUGGCAGGAAAGAAACGGCACGGGAUAAUACCUCAGCAACUGACGGUACCUGCAGAAUAAGCACCGGCUAACUACGCCAGCAGCCAGCGUGGUCACAGUAGGUGCAAGCACACCAACCACUGGGCAAAGCGUGCGCAGGCGGUUCGGAAAGAAAGAUGUGAAAUCCCAGAGCUUAACUUUGGGAACUGCAUUUUUAACUACCGAGCUAGAGUGUGUCAGAGGAGGUGGAAUUCCGCGUGUAGCAGUGAAAUGCGUAGAUAUGCGGAGGAACACCGAUGGCGAAGGCAGCCCCUUCCUGGGAUAACACUGACGUCAUGCACGAAAGCGUGGGGAGCAAACAGAUUAGAUACCCUGGUAGUCCACGCCCUAAACGAUGUCAACUAGCUGUUGGGGCCUUCGCCUUGGUAGCGCAGCUAACGCGUGAAGUUGACCGCCUGGGGAGUACGGUCGCAAGAUUAAAACUCGUGCGAAUGAUGGGGACUCCGCACAAGCGGUGGAUGAUGUGGAUUAAUUCGAUGCAACGCGAAAACCUUACCUACCCUUGACAUGUCUGAAUCCCGAAGAGAUUUGGGAGUGCUCGCAAGAGAACCGGAACACAGGUGCUGCAUGGCUGUCGUCAGCUCGUGUCGAGAUGUUGCUGGGAACCGCAAUGAGCGCAACCUUGUCAUUAGUUGCUACGCAAAGGGCACUCUAUCGAGACUGCUGGUGACAACCGAGUGAAGGUGGGGAUGACGUCAAGUCCUCAUGGCCCUUAUGGGUAGGGCUUCACACGUCAUACAAUGGUCGGGACAGAGGGUCGCCAACUCCGCGAGGGGGAGCCAAUCCCAGAAACCUGAUCGUAGUCCGGAUCGCAGUCUGCAACUCGACUGCGUGAAGUCGGAAUCGCUAGUAAUCGCGGGAUCAGCAUGUCGCGGUGAACAUGUUCCCGGGUCUUGUACACACCGCCUGUCACACCAUGGGAGUGGGUUUUACCCAGAAGUAGUUAGCUCAACCGCAAGGAGGGCGAUUACCACGGUAGAUCACACACUGGGGUGAAGUCGCACAAGGUAG
rnacentral:rRNA from 1 species